rnacentral:rRNA from 1 species
UACGGAGGGUGCAAGCGUUAUCCGGAUUCACUGGGUUUAAAGGGUGCGUAGGUGGGCAAGUAAGUCAGUGGUGAAAUCUCCGGGCUUAACCCGGAAACUGCCAUUGAUACUAUUUGUCUUGAAUACUGUGGAGGUCAGCGGAAUAUGUCAUGUAGCGGUGAAAUGCUUAGAUAUGACAUAGAACACCAAAUUGCGAAGGCAGCUAACUACGGGGAUAUUGACACUGAGGCACGAAAGCGUGGGGGAUCA